rnacentral:rRNA from 1 species
GUAGGGAAUCUUCCACAAUGGACGAAAGUCUGAUGGAGCAACGCCGCGUGAGUGAAGAAGGUCUUCGGAUCGUAAAACUCUGUUGUUAGAGAAGAACGUGCAUGAUAGUAACUGAUCAUGUAAUGACGGUAUCUAACCAGAAAGCCACGGCUAACUACGUGCCAGCAGCCGCGGUAAUACGUAGGUGGCAAGCGUUGUCCGGAUUUAUUGGGCGUAAAGGGAACGCAGGCGGUUUUUUAAGUCUGAUGUGAAAGCCUUCGGCUUAACCGAAGAAUAGCAUUGGAAACUGGAAGACUUGAGUGCAGAAGAGGAGAGUGGAAUUCCAUGUGUAGCGGUGAAAUGCAUAGAUAUCACGCAGAACUCCGAUUGCGAAGGCAGCUUACUAAGCUACAACUGACACUGAAGCACGAAAGCGUGGGGAUCAAACAGGAUUAGAAACCCGGGUAGUCC